rnacentral:lncRNA from 1 species
CGGAGGGGCGGCGCGCGGUCCCCGCCGGCGCGCAGACCACCGGAGGAGGCGCCCCGGCCGCCGGCCCGGCCCGGCAGCCGCUCUCCGCGCUCGGGCCGCCGCGGCCUCCUGGGAACCCCCCCCCCCCCCCCGCCCCGAGGGCGCACGCGAGUCCACACGUGCAGGGGAGCGGCUCGAGGGAGCCCCGGCGUCCCCCGCGUGUCGCCGGGCCGGGGAGGAAGCCCAGAGCCCCGGCCCCACUCGCCUGGGAUUCCCCGGGCCCCUCGCUUCCCGCGCCGGGUAGGGUGUCGCUCGCGUCCCGUCCGAGGAGAGGGCAGCGCGCGGGCUGGAGGCGGCGGCCCGCCCCGGGCCCCGGCACGGCCCACCAGGAAGCCGGCAGCUGCGCCCCGCGCCGCUGCCCACCCCGAUUUGAAUACCCCGGCGAGGGCGGGCCGCGUUCCCAGAGCUGGGUGCGCCCGCGGCGCCCUGGCGAGCGACCCCAGGGGAGGCAAUGGGGGCCUUUCGAGCGCCUGAAAAGUUCGUGCUUCCGCAGGGGCACGGAAAGUGCUAGUAAAACGCUUGGCACAGCUUGAGAAGCGCAGCCAGGAGCUACAGUCUGAUUUUGUUUCUGUUGACCGAUAACAUAACCGUGAGUAGAGCCGAGGGCGAGAGCGAGGAAAGGGAUCAGAGGUCCACGGACAAAAUCAUGACCAUCCUAAAUAUUCAGUAAUUCCGUUUGUCAUCAACACAGGGAACGGUUAUACGGGAAAUGGGGAAGAUGGGGGGCGGGGAGGAGAUUUCACAUCCCUGAAGGAAGUUCUCGGGCUCCUAGAGACGCCCAAGUCUUUUUUUUUUUGCAUGACGAGUAGAGACCGGCUCUCGGGGGAGUUCCCCGAUCCGAGGGAGCGUGACCGCGGCCGCGAUCUUCCCGCCCGGAGCGGCCGCGGCGGGGCCCGGCCCUGCCCUCCCGGCCGCCUCCCUCCCCGGCCGCCCGGCGCGCCGCACAUCCCUCUCGCGCUCGCCGGCUCCAGACUGGUUUUUCUGGUUCAGCCUCCCUCCUAGGGACGCGCUGGGGGAUCCGAUGACGUCGCUGGCUGAGUCUCUCCCUCUUCCUCCCUCCCUCCCCCCGCCUCUCCCCGCGCCCGCCCUCGCCGCGCACUCCUCCUAGUAACUUCUGUUCGGGGAGGCGCUGCCAGGAAUAACCCGGUGCGUCCACAGCCCGGGAGGGGAGGCGGCCGCUGCGGCUCCCGCACGCACACUGCUGCGGCCCGGGCCUCGCGGCUCCCUCGCGAGCCCGGCGGCCCCUGCCCCGGGCCCAUCGCCGUACAGUGUCAGAAAAAUAAAUAGAGGAAAGAGGAGCCUGGGCAGGCGGUCGGGAUCUCUUCCCUCCCUCCGCGCCCGCCCUCCCUCUGUCCUUAAGGAAAUGCUACCAGACACCCCCCACCAGACACGCUCAGCCUUGGCGAGGAGCGGCCGCCGCGGCAGCGAGAACAAGGGCACCAGGGGGGUUUCCUCCCCCUCCUCCUCUCCCCACUCUUCCUCCUCCUCCUCCUCCUCCUUCUCAGCGGUGACUUUCCAGGUGGAGUCUUUGAAUUUUUUAAAAGACAAUGAUAAUCAGAUCUACUUGAAAAAUUAAGCAAAUUGAUUUGGUUGGAACACUCUUUAACCAAUACUUUAACAUUCAGCCUCUGGGUAAGUUGAGUCAAGUGUUUCCUAUAUGGCUUGAUUUCAAAAUUAUUGGAAAAAUCUCUCAAGCAAAAUACUUAGCUUUAUGUGAUAUUUUGACAGUAAUGAUUUGAGGUCCUCAAAACCUGUGAAAGAUGUCUGGGAUGCUAUCUAAAUGAAAAUGUUCAUAAGUCUUACCACUUUUAUGGGACUAUCCUGAUGAGGAAGAUGAGAUUAGAAAAUGUAAUCACUUAUAGUUUGAAACCAGAUCCUUUAAUUUACUAUUUUAAUGAUUAUUUGCUUAUUGUAAUCUUGAGAUAAUGUGAGAAUAUCCAAUUAUACUUUUAGUGAGAUAUUUGCGUGUAGCUGUACUGUAUUGUAUCAGAUGCAAAUCUAAGGUAUAAUGACCAUUUUCAGUAAAUUAGUAACUCCUUAUUUUAGACCGUUCUCUUUUUACAGAAAGCUGAGUUUCCGUGGUAAGAAUAGAAAUCUUAAGGACUUGUUCAAUUCAACUUCCUUGUUGCACUGUGUUGCUGCAGAAAGCUCUUGAGGUAGAGAACACUUACCCAGGAGGAGUUUAGGCUUGUAGCAAAUUGUUGGUGCUGCCAAGACAGAAUUUAGUGGGAACAGGACUUUGGCUACUGUUAAAAUGUCACUGUAGUAAACCUGCUCAGUCAAACAGAUUUUUGGCAUCAGAAGUCUAAAUGAUACUGACUUUAGGGUUUGGUAAUUUGUUUUUAAUCCAGGCAAACUCAUGCUUUAAUUAACUCUUUACACAGUAACAGAAAAAUUGGGAAAAAUUUUACAUUCCUAGUCUAUUCGACAAGACUUGAGUUUCUGAUAUCCUAAAUGUUAUUCAUGAUUCUAACUUGUGCAACUUGUUACUUAAUUAUUCUCUGAAUAAACUGGAGCUAUUUUAAAACCUGGUGAGUGAUAACGAAUGAGAGAAGCAAGUGUCUAAUCAUUUGGGAAGCCGACUUCGAAACCAAGUGUCUGCUUUACCUGUGGGCAUCUUAAGACGUGAUGUGGUGAGGUGGUUUUCAGGGAUACUGUUGCAUAGCUUAUUCACUGCCAACAGCUGCCUUAGCGUGUCUAGAGUAAUUUCCCUUGAGGCCACUGCCCUGCGACUUGAUUUGUUAGUGUAGCUUUUGAGCACCCAGUGAAUGUAGAAAUAGCAAGUGUGGAAAGCCCGGGAAUCUUUUCAUUCUGCCUGGAGGGUUCGUGACCCAAGAUUUAUUUGUGACCAAUAAUUUCCAUUGUUAUGGGCACAUGGUGCCAUUUGGAAAAAUCUUUGGAUAAUUAAAGGGAUAUAAGGCAGUUAGAUGAAAAACCCAUCAGGAAGAGAAAUGUUAAAAAAAAGUUUCAAAAGCAAAGCCUUAAUUUCUUCAAUAGCUAUAAUCGCCGUUAGAAGAUGAAAAUUAAUACUCUGAACCACUAACUUAAAUGUGUUUGUCUGCCACAUUUAAUUUUCCGUCUACUCACAAGGUUGGCUUUUACAGUUAUUCCCAAAGUGCCCCACAGUGUUACAGUUACAUUUGGGUUGAUGGGACUCAAUUUAAAUUAUGUUUGGGAGACUAUUCCGUCAGCGCCUCCUGAGAAUGGACAUGGUGUGGACACUGAGUGCAUCUGGCGUUCUCCUUGCUUCUCGCACAGUGUGAGUUGUGGGCGCCUUUGGUUAAGGCAGCUCAUUGGGUCACUGUGUUUUAAAAUAAUAAAUUUUUUUAGUGUAAUAAGGAUGUUACUUAAUUCAUAAGAUUAUGUGAAGAUUAAACUCCUGGCAGGUAGUAGGGGCUGGUACCUACCAGUGAUCUAUGGUGAUUACUAGUGGUAAUAGUCGGUGUAAUCAUUGUUUAAACUUAACAGUAUUAUAUUUUAUUAGUCACGUGACUAAUUCUUUAGCCUGUCAUUGUGGGCAUAACUCAUAGAGACGAGUGCAUUUUCUCGAUUAAACCAAACACUUAUUUUGGUAAAGAAACACUUCAUAUGAAAUUGGUAAGUUUUCGUGAGGUCUAUGCCACAUAAAUCAACAACCUCUCCAUGACUUUCUCUCUCAACCUGGCCAUAUGCAGUAGGCCAAGCAAGAAUAUUUUUUUCAAAUAUUAAAUUUUUUAAAUUUGCCCAAUUUUCCCCACCCCAAAUUGGUAGUAAAUAGAAAACAGUUUGCAAAAUAAGAAAGCAAAACCCUCACCAUUAAGAACUAUAUCCAUUUUUUUGGUACUUUUUGUAAAAGACAAUAAAUAUAAAUUAUUUUAUCUUUAUAAUAAUGUUGCUUUUGAUGUAGUACCAUUUUCCUUCAAGUAGUCAAUGGUUUUGUCAGGUCUUGACAUCAUUCGUUUUAUGGCAAUAUUAGCUGGACUAGGCAUCUUUAGCCAUGUCCUCAGAUUUCUAUUCUCAAUGCAUUGGCUGUAAUUAUUUAAGAAUUAUGUAAGUGACAUUUCUUUUUUUAAGCUGAGGAAAGAUAAGAAGGAAGGUGAAAAUUGUUAACAUUCAUUGGGCAUAUUCUGUUAGUCAGGUUCUGUGCUGUUGGUGAUUAAUCUUUUUAAAGUAAGAAUUAAGAAUCUAGAUUCAUAUGAGGAAAUUGGGUUUCAGAGCAGUAAUUAAUUUGCUGAGAAUUAUAUAGUUAUGAUAGUAAUUUUUGGAGUCAGAAGUUAUUGAAUUCUUACUUUAAAUUUAGGAAACACAAAAUAUGUAAUUCUAUGUUCUGUGCAAAUUGCUGCAUUUGGUGAUUUCCCCAGAUUCGUUGUUCAUCCAUCCCUCUGCUGCUUUCUCUUCUGAUAUGCCUUUAUAUGUUUUUGGAGUGUUUUUUUGGGUCAUUACUUAUACCAAUAUGGAAAAUAAAAGUGAGGAAAACUUUUAAUCUAUUCUAUUUGGACAUAUUUUUGUGGGUCUUAUAAAGAUUUGAUAAGGUUGCAAAUUAGAUCUACUCUCCGGUCUCUAUGACCGGGUAUAACUUUUCCUGCUGUGCAGAGUGGACCUAUGAGCUUCAAUGUAUCGCAGCCUUCAGAAUGUUUCCUUUUGCAUGGGGUUAUUUUUCUAGCUUUUCUGAUACAUCCAGUUCUUCUGUUUGGGUGCCUCGUAUUUUAAGGCAACUGAAGAGGGUAUCAGAAUUUAUGACUGAGGAUUUCUGAGCUGACGUGAAACCUCUGGACUCCGACUCCUUCCAGGGACGGCUGUUUCCUUUGCUCUUAGAGCCUGUGGAAGGGAGCCCUUUACUGUGAACUUCUUGGGCUCCCUGCUUUCAUUUUUCCAAAAGUCUUUUCUUACCCUCUUCUACACAGCUUGAUGCUUCCUACUUUGUUCUUCAAGCACCUCACUCGGUUAUACCUUCCUUCAUUCAUGUAUUCAAUACCUUUACCCCUUCAUUUAUUCAGCAUCAAUCCAUGAACAUUAAUUAAACCAGCAGUAUGAGCAAUGCAUGUUUUGUUUCUUGAGCAUUCUGUAGCCAUCUGAAAACUGACUGAGGCUUGCUUUUAUAUCAUUUCAUAGUAUUCCCUUCUGUCUGUCUUCCUGUCUCCUUACUUUAGCUUGUGGUAUAGGAUGUCUGUGUAGGAGAUCCUCUCAUCUUUUACUCUCCAUACAAACCCUACACAAUGGAACUUGGUAAUCAUACACCUUGUUACUAUGAAGAUGUGAAUUACCAUUUGCGUAAUGCUUUACAGUUUGCAAAUGGCUUCCAUGUUACAGUAUCUCAUUUAAGGCAAUGACUGUUAUGUAGAUAUUACUCACAUUUUAUUAUGUGUAACAGGAAGCAGAAGCUCAGGGGUUUUCAACUGAGUGAUUUGCUUAAAUUUAUAGCACCAGUUAGUCAUGAGCAAGAAUUCAACCCUGCCUCUCCCAACGUCUCACAGCAUGUCAUUCACCAGCAGGUCAUCGGUUUAGUUACCGACAGUGUUCAAAUAUCCCAGCUUUGUUGAGGCAGUCACUGUAUUCUGUUUCAUAUGAUUCAUACAUGAAACAGAAGCCAUACUGGAGUUUGAGGGCAGAAUCAGAUCUCAUAAUUUUAGGGAAUCUUGGAGGCAUCUUUACCUUCCUUGAUGAUACAAACUGUCAAGUUCACCCCAUCACUCCUCCUGCUCUGAGAGUCACUUAAACUCCAAGCAACAUCCUUAUGGAUCAAGAAUGGCCUUUGGAGUUCUGAUUUCCUUGGCAAUUAUAGUUUUCACUAUAAAUUACUAAAUUGGAUAUUGGACAAAGCCACCCAGUUGGAGAUCUUUAUUUUUGAAUCUGCUGUCACAUUGACUUCUCAUCCAUGAAUUGCCAAAAGACUAACUUUGCAUUUUCUACCUCAUCUACUAUUUGGGUUAUUGGUUAAUGUGCUUUCCUGAUAUCAGAGUCUGGUUAAUUCCUUUAUUUUAGUAUUACUUAUCUUCAUGUUUCAUCUCAUUUUCUCUCUGAAUCCCCUUAACACUUAUACUUCUCUCUUUUCACUCUUUGUAUGUAUUUUUGUGCUUGCUUUUUGUGUUAAAGUAGUUCUGUGAGAUUUUUAUCUCAUGCACCACCCUGUAAGUGGCCUGAGGGCAAAGAGUCUGACUUUAUUUUGUUGGUGUCCUCUUCGACCUUGAAUAUGGUGAUUGAAAAUAUAGUAGAUAUUCAAUAAAUAUUUGUUGAAUUUAAUAAAAAUAUUUGGUUAUGAGUUUUCUUUUAAUAAUCAUUUUGGGGACUGCACCUUGAUACCUGAGCACAGAUUGAUUUUAAUCAUAUUAGUGAGAUGAAUCAGCAAGUCUGAUACUUAUUAAACAUCCAGAGCAGGUUCAUAAGAACAAAUGUAUGUGUUUUUUAGUGUUCUUUUUGAAUGCAAAAAAUUCUUCUUAAAGUAAAAUAAUGACAGUCCCCUUCCCUGCUCAACAAAACAAAACAAAAACCCCUCCAUUCCCCUGACAAGGACACUUUAUUGUCCUUAUCUUGACCGUGGGAACAAAAACAAUUGGCCUCUGAAGAGAUUUAAUAAGAUAAAAUAAAACGUGGCCUUGGAUUGUUAUGGCUUCCUGGGAGAUACAGGUGUGGAUGUGACAUGCCUGUGGAGCACAAUUGUCUGACUUUGGGACUAAGGGUGUACAUUUAAUUUGGCCUGUGGUGGUGGGAAGCCCCUGAAAAUUUUUGAGCACUAGAGAUGCAAUGUGAGCUGCACUUUAGGAAGCUGAAUCUGGCUGGGCUGUGCUGGAUGGCAUGGGGGUAGAGGUGAAGGUUCCGUGAGUGGGCGUAAGAGUCCCUGAAAGCACAGAAGCCAUUUAGGAGGGAGUUGCCUUAAUUCGCACGAGAGCUGUCACCUCCUGUCGUGCCCUUUGCCUCUCCUCCCACGCUUCAUCACAGACGAGAGCACUGUUGAGAAAACUUUAGUGAACACUUGAAUCCCAGGUUCAGAGCAUUCUCUGCGACUUACCUUCCUCCAGUCUCUUCCUCAGUUCCUCACUCCUCAGGUUUUGCAUCUUGGCGCCCUUGUGGCUACUUUCAGCUCCAAGUGUUUUCCUUAAGGCUUUCCUGAUACUUGCACAGGUUAGUCCCUCUGAUGAUUGUCCCUGGGUUCCAUAUACACAAGGGCGUCAUGCCUAGACCUGUCCCUUAGAGAUUUGCCAGUCAGGCCCAGAGUACCUUCUGAGCUCCCGACUUUGUGUGUUGUCGGGGGCCUGAGUUGGAGUGGUGGCAGUAAGGAUUGACAGGACACAGAUAGAAGGAGGGAGAGUGUGCAGGAAGCCAGUGUAGGACUGCCUGAUUGGGGAUAGGAGGCGUUUGUGUGUGUAUGUGUGGUUGUGUGUGCACUUCUGGGGGUGGGGAACAGGAGGAAGCUGUCAAUGAUGACACAGGCUUUGAGCUUGGGAGUUUGAAUGUAACUUUUAAUAGAAAAAAGGAAGUAAAGAGAGAAGCUGGUUUGGGUAGUAGGAUGAUGAAUUUGAUUGUAUACCAGUUGAGUUUGAGAUAAAAGUAGAUAAACAGCAUACACUUGACUUUUCUUUUUCAUGAGGGUUUAUAGUUGGAAAUACGAAUUCACGGGAAGCCUUGAGCCUUCUUCCUCUUUUUUUGCUGUUCUUCCAGCUCCUUAAAUAUUUCCCAAGAGCUUAGGAUGGUUUUAGGUUUUCUCGACUUUACCCCUGCCAACCUCCCCCCAAAUGCACCUCCUCAGGAACUUGUAUACUUGUCAGAGUACUCACAGCAGCCAGAAGUGUGCCUUUCAGCCUCCUAAAAUAAGACUUAGGGGAAAAAUAGCUAUCUUUUCCUUUUGAGGAACAUGAUCAUUGUCAUCUCACGACUUGCUGAAAUAGCACAGGGAAGGAACAUUUUUUGGCAGGCUGCAAAAUCUAGGGAAUGCGCGAACACAUGCACUUCUCCUUUGCUAUGAUGUAUUCAAUGGAGGCAGUCUAGUUCAGGAAAGCAGGGGGAUUUUCACUUGAGCACUAAAAUGGAAAAAAAAUGUAUCAGCCAUUUGAAUCUAAAGUUGUUCUCUCAAUUGCUGAUAUUUCUCACAACAGAAUCCUUAGGUUCUUAAAUUUGAUGGUAGCAAUCAGUUGGCUGGUUCCAGUGUAAUCCACCCCAUUCCCAUCCACUGAGGAGUUUUUGAAUUUCAGAAGAGAUACUCUUGAUUAAAUCAGUGUAAGAGCAUAUAAUGAUCCUGUAAUUAUCAUUUGCCAUUACCGUGUGUGCUAAUGAUUAAAGCAAACAUUUAAUAACUAUAGGGCAGUAAAUAUAUUUUAGAUCUUGAGCCAUAAAAAGAUUUCCAUUAACAGAAUGUUUUGUGCACAAAUAAAUUAUUCAUUGACUGUAGCAGAGCUUGAUUCUGUCAUCAGUCUUCAGUGGAAAUUUUGAGAACACCAAUCAUCGCAGAUGCCAACACUAAGUUGGCUUGAGCCCUCAUCGUUCUUACAUGGAACCUGAGCUUUUUUGGCUAUUUGUAAAAGCUUUAGUUUGGUUAAAUUCAAUGAAUAUUUAUGACAUUUCUGCCAUAUGCAAUUUAGUGUUCUGGUGGUUGGAGGAAUACAAUGAUGUGCAAGUCUGCAUUUUAGCUUCAAGUUGCUUAUAAACCUAAAAGAGAGAUAUGACUUGAACAUGCCUGACUUGGAUAUAAGAAAGCUUGAGUAGCGCCCUCAGAGAUGUAAAAAUGAAAUGUGUUACAAAUUCAGAGGAGAAAGAAAUCAUAUGCAUUUCCUUGUGGUAAUAUGGGGGUGAAGGACUUGGGGAUCAGAAAGUGUUUCCUGAGGAAAGCUCUAAAGAAGGAAAGGCUUUGAUAGGCAGAAAGAAUUACAUCCACGCAGGCAAAGAGAUGGGUGGAUAGUGUGGGUGUCAUCAUGGAAGGAAAAGUAGCAUGGCACGUUUGGAACACGGCAUUGAGAAGUGAAGAGGAGGCGUGAAAGAAGAAGAAUUCCAGAAGGUACUGAGAGAACAAGGGAGUAUAAAGGGCCUUGAAUGUGUAAUUAGCACAUCAGUUUGGUAGACCUUGGAGAACCUUUACCCACUUUUGGGCUAAGGGGUGACGUGAUUGGAUUAUAUUUUAGAACUAUACUUCACUUCACCUCACAGAUUAAGAGGUAGAAAUCCCAGGUGUAGACAAGGUGAGGAAGCUAUCAGGAUAGUCUCCACAAGAGGUAAUGAGGUUCUGAACUAGAAUGGUUGUAAUAGGAAAAGAUAAGAGGGCACCCUGGGAGAGACACUGUGAUUAAAUCAUCUAUAGGUUUUUGGCAUGUGAUUGGUUAUGGAGGGGUGGGAAACAGGAAGGAGUUAAAGAUUCCAUUCAACAACUUUAGCCAACUUUUGAAUCCAUCCAACAUUUAUGGAAAACCAGCCACGUGCGAGAUGGUGCUUGGUGCCAGAGGUGUGUACUGAGAGAAAGGAGAAUGGUCCUGUUCCCAAGUAGCUGAAAAUUUAAUUGGGCAUAUAAAAUAUGUACUCAGUUAACUAAAAUCCAAAAUAGAUCAUAUCAGUGCGAUAACAGGAAUAAAGUAAAGGGUUAUGAGAGCACAAAGAAGAAGUAUUAUUUUUGACAGUGGAAAAGUGAGGACGCACAUAGAGGAGUAGAUGCUUCAACUAGGAGUAUUUUGGCUGUCAGAAGUGUGGCAGGAAAACCCAGAGAGACAAGUAUCAAAGAAGCUAAGGGGAGAGGACUCUUACUUGUUGUCUACUGGACACCAGAUUCUGAGCUGGGAGCUGUGUGUAUAAGGAAGGCAUAUUCAACAGCAUGAAGUGCUCCAAAGUCGCCAACAGUGUUUUCUAGGAAGGGGCCAGUGUAUUUGGCAAUUUAAGGAUUACCAGUGGCUUUUGAAGAGGGUUCAGAAGGGUAGGGAUGGAAACAUCCCAAAGCUUAUUACUUAUCUUGAAGAUGUAAUUAAACUACCUCAGUGAGAGAAAAGGCUGCGCUUUCCCAGUGAUUUCUCCUUGAUGGGUCAAGUUUAUAUAAACCUCCGUAGAUUUUAAUGCUCUGGCUGGUCUUAGAGGUAUCACUCGAGAAUGUGUUGGUCCUGAGAAGUCUUUGCAAAGUUAAGAAUAGUUGCAGAAAUGUUAGCUUGCUGGAUUAUUUUCUCACGAGUAAAAGAUUUCAACACUGACAACCAGCCUCCCUCUUGCUCCCUGCUUCCUCCUUCCUCCCUCCUGCUCCUCCCUUUGAGUCCUCAGCCCAGUAGGGUGAGCACACUGCCACACCCUUGGCUCAGGGUCAGGGAAGUCCUCGGGCUCUCCUUGGCUCUUUUCCCAUGUGGAGGGAGAUUUCCACAGAGAACAAUCCAGGGAAGUGCAUGCACAAAUAGAUACACACACACACAUCCCAGUUCUUUUCCUGUCCCCAAGGAUAUACGUGUGCCAAUAAACAGACAAAACACACGGUCAUAUACAGCCAUAUUGUGUCACAUUCGCCCUGAGGAAACAUAGGGCAGAGAUCCAGUAGUCCAGCAGGAGGUGGGGGGGUAUUAUUAGCAGUUUAACAUUUAGGAAGAAUAAUGUAACUUAAAGAAAAAUUUAGAAAUUGCUUUGUUGAGAUGAAUAGCAUGUUACUAUAGAAUGUUAAAGGGUGAAUUUGUAUCAUGGUUAUAUUUAGUUGAUUUUUGUUGUGUCUUUUUUUAAUCAAUUAUCACAGCAUGCUGGGCAUAAUAAAAGAACUUUCACAGAGGCACCCACCCGUAUUAUCACAAAGGGGAAUUUUAAAUUAUAUCAGACCUCCCUGUAAUUUAAAAGGAAUAAAGGGAGAGAAAUGAAAAGGAGUAGUAGAAUGGAGGAAGAAGCAAUUGCUCCUUAACCCCACAAAUGCACACUAGCUCAUGGCAGGGCAAGUGUGAGUGUGUUUACAGUCAUUCAUUUGUUCCCUGAUUCAUUCACUCACUUGAUCACUCAAUGAAUAAACAUUUACUGAGUUCCAAUUGUAUUCCAGGCUGAGGCUGGGAAAUAUAGCUGAGCAGAGAAAAGACAUGCAAAAUUUUAAAUCAAAUACAUCCUUCUUAUAGGAAACUAGCCACUGUCAGGAAGUUUCCCUGUUUUAUAGGUGGACAGCUUGAUGAAAGUGCGCUUUUGAGGUGAGUAUUAUAUACUACUGUUUUGCCCCUCAAAGCUAUCUCCUGCCAUUGUGAACCCUAAAAUGUGUUCAACUUGCUGGAAUACAGUAACCCUGGUAGUGGAACUCCUCAGGUUUCUGAACAAAUUUCCUUGCGUUCUCCUCACACUUAACUUACUGCCGUAUUGGGAUUCCUUUUCCUUAAGAAUUUCCCCCUGUCUUAUCAGAAACCUUGGGAUAGAUAGGGUCUGUCUGUUUAUUUGUGUGUACAUGUAAAUAUUCGAAAUAUCCUCAGGGAAUUCCCCCAAUAUAGGGACAUCUUCUACCUUUGGAAGCACUGUCAAGAUCUUUUCAACCAGCCGUCAAGCUCAGAGUGGAGGGGUAUUGAGACUGACUUCAGCUAGUCUCCUAGGGAACAGUAAAUCUCAGAGGGUAGCAGUGUAUCCCUUGCCAGAUGGGAAGACUAAGGCACAGAAAGGUUAGGUAAGUUGCCUGAAGUUAUUUAUAUGUUUACUAAAAGUGUCAGAGAUGGGAUUCGAAAGAGUAAUUCUGGGUCCAGAGCCCAUGAUCUGGGCCACUGUUCUCAUGCCCGGUUAUUACAUCAGUGCCUUGCAGCACAGUUGUCCAAUCUCUGUUUUUCUUUGGUUUGGGGUUGGACUAGGAAUCUCCAUAUCUGGGGUGAGGGGAGCCUUUGGAUUAUUUCAAUGCAGUCCUAGGAGGUACUCUUCACACAGUCUCUCAGAGCUGUCUCUGAAAGGUACUGUGUCAUUUGGUUCAAAGUCUAUUCGUCUUUAAUCCCUUGCUGGUACGUAGGCAAUAUGGAGAAGGAAAAACAUGUUCAUACCCAAAGAGUUUAGUAGUGCUGCAAAAUGCUAGAAUUGGAUUGACUUCGUCUCAAUUUCAAGGACGUUGACAGUGCUUUGAUCUCUGCUUUUGAAGCCCUCUCGUCAGCAACAUUGGCAAGUGCACCUUUGAAAAUUUGUAUGUGAAUUCUUGUGUUUGAAAAAAAAAUGUUUGUUAGUGUUUCUCUUCUUGAACACUAGUUGAUGUUUUGCCAACUAGUUAAACGUCUGCAAAUCUGCGUAUUGGCUGAGAAGCUAAGCUUGCUGUGACCAGUUAUCCCAGAUGGCCGUACUGCAUUGGGUACCACUGUUAUAGAUGCUCACUGGUUGCAGACUUGGGGUUGUGAGGUGUACUGUUCCACUUGUUUUUGCCAGCCAUGCACGGUGCAUUAUUUGAGACAGAUGGUAUAGCUCAAACUAAAUUGAUGAGGGAGAGAAGAAAGUGGAAAAAAUAGAAAAAAGGUGCUUGCUUUUCUAAUUCACAUUUCGGAAGUGAAUUUUAGCUUCUGUGAUUGACUAAUAAAUGCAGUGUUGCCAUAAGACUUGAAUUCAUUCACGUCUGUUUAAACAGAUAGAACUACGUCAUCGGCAGGAAGCAAUCAUUUCCUUCAUGGAUGCUGUCCCAAACUUCAUAGGGUGUCCUCCAGAUUUGAAAAUGUUGGGACAUCGGAGGAUGUCAAAAAUAGAUCUGAGUUUUUCAGAAUAAGAUAUGCCACCAGCCAAUACCAAUGAAAACAGAAAAAUCCAAAAUUUUAUUUUUAAACUGAAAAAACAGUGUAUCAAAAGAGCCUAGUGAAGUUGUGGUGAUAAGGACAAUUAAUCAAUUUUCAUGCAGCUGCUUCCUGACAUUUCUGCAAAUUGUUGUGGAAAAAUUAAUGAAGGUUAGAUCAGUAAUGGUUUCAAGCUUGGCCAGUGGAAAGUAUGACAGUGUUUCCAUCAGCAAUUAAGCCGGGCUGCUUGCUUUCUUCUAUAGGGGAAGUGGUAUAUGAUGUGUGUUCUCCACAGGAAAUGGAAAACGACAGCUGGGCUGGGUGAGCACAGGUACAGGGGAGCACCCUGGGAGUGCUCUAGCAGGCUCGCCUUGAUUUGCACUACUUAUUUGCAUUUUCUGCAGAAAGGUUUUUGCUGUACAAACCUGAGAAAUCCUUCCUUAAAAAGAGAGUGAGAAUUUUGGCAUUUUACUGAGCUACCAUUUCAGAAACACAGACAGUCUAUGAAUCUAAACUUUGGGAACCAGAAAGUGGAACUUAUGACAAACAGAAAGUGAAACUCACCUAUCUAAUUUUAUUUUUCAAGCCGAAGGUAGUUCAGUACAGGCCGAGUUCACAUCCUGUGUAACCCUAUGGGAUUUUCCCCAGUAUUAGUUAAAAAUUUUCCCAUAGGGUCACACAGGAUGUGAAUUAAGUAAACACUUCACAAGCAUGAUGAAAAGGAAAUUAGCUUUCUCAGUGAUCCUUUCACUCUUAACAUCCUGAGUAGUUAUUAGAAACAUGGGAAAGGGUCACUUCAAUGUCUCAUUAUCAAGUCGUUCCAUUAUUAAUAGAGUUUAUUCAUAUUCUUCUUGUUACAUAUGAAAUGUAUUUCCUUAUAUAUGAAGCUAAAUUUUACAUAUAUAUUUUCCUUUUUGGAAGACAUUAAAGAGCCAGUAGUUCUUAGCCUUGGGGAGGAGGAGUUCAUAGACCUCUUCAGGACUCCUGACCCUUUCCCCGAGAAAAAUGCUUAGAUACACAACAUUUUGCAUACCAUUUUUAAAGUUUCACAAAUCUCUUAAGUGACCUUGGAUCCAAGGCAUUUUUCAUAGGACUGAGUUUUUAAAGCUUUUUAUAGAUAGAAAAUUGUAGCUACAACCAUUAAAUGUUAAUUCUUUAUGAGUAAAGAUUUCAUAGGAGGCACUUCUUAAGAAACUUUAACUGUAACUACAGUAAUUCUUUCCCCUUUCCACCUGAAAAAUGCUUCCUUGUCCUUAGAUGGGAGCUUGUACAUUGGACAGGACAUAUAAAUCUGGGUUUGAAGCUGGCCGUGUGACAUUUUAGCAAGUGACUUUGGUUGUCCUGCGUCAGUUUCACCAUCUCUAAAAUGAUGGUAACGAGGAGACAAUAUGUCAGUUGUGUCUGGCAAAUGGUCCAUGCUCAAUAUACAUGCCUUCCCUUCUCUUCUUUGUUUCCUCCUUUGAGAUCUAGUCUAAACAUCACUUUUUUGCCCAUCGUUUUGCACUCCUGAAGGCAAUUUUUUUUCACUUUCCCCUCAAUGUUCCUCUAUUGCUUUGUAAAUUUCUUUACUCUUAAAAUUGUGUUAUCAUUUGGUGCUUACGUCUAAAGUUGUGAGUUUUGAGGAUCUCAUAUCUUAUUAAUAAUGUUUUAUUGAUCUCUCUGUGUGCUGUGUUGCAAAGUGCCUAAGACCCGUGGGUACUUCCUGUUUACUAAAUUAGUGGUAAUAGUCUAAUGCUUAUUGGAAAUGAAAUGAUUUAGGUUUGAGCUUGUAAUUGUCACUAGAGUGUGUUUAUGUGACUACUAGUCAUCUCAGAAGGGAAGUCAAAUGAUCAGUGUACAGCCAAAGUGAAAUUUAGUGGGAGAACAGCCUCGAACUGAAAGUGUGUCUUUUCCAGCUUUGGCUACAACCGGAAUGUGUUCUAAACCAGAGCCAAAGUAUUUUGGCUAGAGUUUUCAGCCAGCUCAAUUACAAAGUGAUUAAAGAAAAAAGAAGUGGAUUAUUACAUUUCUAAAAUGUGUAAACCUGUACAUUAUAAACCUGAGGCUCCAAAGAAAAUGUGAGCCCCCAAAGACUUAUUUUGUUUUUUAGAAUCUGGGGUCGAGUGAUAGCUUGAAGGACAUACUGCUCUGCCUUUCAAUUGUUUAAGUCCUCACAAGCUGUUGCUAAAGCUGCUCGACUGGAGUCGAACAACGGUGUGGCCUGUCUUCGAAGAGCUGCCAUUUUUUAACUUCUGUUUCUCCCUUCUCCCCUUCAUAUGUAUAUGUACCUUGUAGCUGUUACAGAUGUUUUUAUAAGCAACUUAAAUAAAAAAUUAAUAUCAAACCAGGUUGUCUUAGCACUUGAACAACUCAGUGACAGUAAACUCUCUUCUUUCUGUACAUGGUUAAUGGUUUCCAAGCAGAAAGUUAUGAUUUAGAGCCUUGCCCAUAAAGAGUGACGUUGAGGGAGCUGGCCCGGUGGCGCAGUGGUUGAGUUUGUGCGCUCCGCUUCAGCAGCCUGGUGUUCAUGGGUUUGGAUUCCUGGUGCGAACCUACGCACUGCUUAUCAAGCUAUGCUGUGGCAGGCGUCUCACAUAUAAAGUAGAGGAAGAUGGGCACAGAUGAUAACUCAGGCUCAAUCUUCCUCAGCAAAAAAAGAGGAGGAUUGGCAGUGGAUGUUGGCUCAGGGCUGAUCUUCCUCAAAAAAAAAAAAAAAAAAAGAGUGACACUGAGCUAGGGGAGGCUUGGAAGAGAGAAAUGUAUAGUUGGCUGCAGGAAGUCUUCGAGCAAAUUAGAGUGGGAAAAACAGCUGUCAAUUUGAGUGGAGAAAGUGAAGAGCGUGGAGAGGAGAGAAAGGAAAAUAUGGGAGGUAGAGCAUGGUAUCUGGUGGUCUGGGGAAGGUUGUUGACACGUAGAGAAGGUUUUAGUCCUAAUAUGCAGAGUACAAGGAAACCUUGAGUGGAACACUGGAUGAGGUGACUUGCAAACCAGACCCAUAGAAGGGCCUGCAGAAGUAGAACUGAGGGUCCGUAGAGGUGCUGACAGUGUUGGAUGAUAAGGAUGGUUGUCAUAGUUGAAACAGAGUGUGAACAGAAGCUUGUGCCUGUUAGAUAUGGAUAAAGAGAUGAAUUUAGGAGAUAUGGGAAAGGAAAAAAAAAAGCCAUGUUGGCAAUGGGUUGAAUUGGGGACAAAGAACAGUAGGGUUGAAGAUUUUGCUCAAUAAGUUGUUGGCCGUGAAUUCUUGGCUCUCAUGACAUGCCCAACCAUUCCUUUACUCAGGCAUUUCCACCUCCUGGAAAGCCUUGUCUCUGCCUGUCAGAAUUUUCAAGCCCUUAUUUAACUUCCACCAGCUGCAUAAAUAUUUCUUUCACAACACUGGCUCAUAGCAAUCUCUCCUUUACUGAGCUCAUAUAGUACUAUUAUAAAUGUGGUGGCACUUAAUUGAUGUUUAAAGCUAUAAUUUAAAUUUUCACCUGCCUGUCUUGUCUCUUCAAUGAGCCUCCAAAUUUGUGCAGAAUUGGAUACUGUAAAAAAAAAAAGAAAAUUCUCUAUUCUCUAAUUCAAAGACAUGCCCGUAGCAAGAAU